UACUAGAGUAGCACUCGCAUAUCAAUAAGCGGAGGAAAAGAAACUAACAAGGAUUCCCCUUAGUAACGGCGAGUGAAGCGGGAAGAGCUCAAAUUUGAAAUCUUCAAGGUUCUACCUUGACGAAUUGUAGUUUAUAGAAGUGUUUUCUGUUAGUAGGAGUGGCAAAAGUUCUUUGGAAUAGGACAUCAUAGAGGGUGAGAAUCCCGUAUUUGGUCAUUCCUCCUAGCGUUGUGAUACACUUUCAACGAGUCGGAUUGUUUGGGAAUGCAGUCCAAAAUGGGUGGUAAAUUUCAUCUAAAGCUAAAUAUUGGCGAGAGACCGAUAGCGAACAAGUACCGUGAGGGAAAGAUGAAAAGAACUUUGAAAAGAGAGUUAAACAGUACGUGAAAUUGUCAAAAGGGAAGCGUUUGACACCAGUGUUGUUUUUCCGAAAAUCAAUUACGAAUGUUUUGUUUUUAAGAAGUUAUGACUUCAUCGGCUUGCUUCUUUCUUUACGAAACUUUCUUAAUGCACUUUUCGGUUAACAAGUCAACAUCAAUUUCUUUUGUUGUAAAAGGGUAUGAGGAAGGUGGCUUUCUUUUCGGAGAAAGUGUUUAUAGCCUUGUGCCUCUGCAAUCGGAGAGAUUGAGGUCUGCAGCGUAGAUCCUUCGGGGUUAGAUACGUUUGUGCUAAGUUAUAGCUUUUCAUAGACAACUUGUUGACUAUGUUUAGUCUUGUAGCUUACUCGCUGACGCUAUUUUACCUACGCUUAGGAUGUUGAAGAUGUAGCACAUCAU
rnacentral:rRNA from 1 species